rnacentral:rRNA from 1 species
AGGUCAAGCUAAUAAGAGCGCAAGGGGAAUGCCUUGGCAUCAGGAGCCGAAGAAGGACGUGGCAAGCUGCGAUAAGCUUGGGGGAGGCGCAAACAGCCUUUGAUCCCGAGAUUUCCGAAUGGGGAAACCCGGCAGAGCAAUACUCUGUCAGCGUGCGUUGAAUCAAAUAGGCGUACGCGGGGAACCGCCUGAACUGAAACAUCUAAGUAGGGCGAGGAAGAGAAAUCAACAGAGAUUCCGCUAGUAGUGGCGAGCGAACGCGGAAGAGGGCAAACCGGAGGAUUUAUUCUCCGGGGUUGUGGACUCACACAACGGCAGCAUAGUUUAGCCGAAUGGUAUGGGAAGGCCAACCGUAGCGGGUGAUAGUCCCGUAGGCGAAAGGCGAUUGCUGUUAGUGAGUAUCCAGAGUACCGCUGGACACGUGAAACCCGGUGGGAAACUGGGGGGACCACCCUCCAACCCUAAAUACUACCUGAUGCCCGAUAGAGGAGCAGUACCGUGAGGGAAAGGUGAAAAGGACCCCGGGAGGGGAGUGAAAUAGAACCUGAAACCUUGUGCUUACAAGCACUCAAAGCCCGUUAAAGGGUGAUGAGGUACCUUUUGUAGAAUGGUCCGGCGAGUUAUUGUAACAAGCAAGCUUAAGGUAUUCAGUACCGGAGGCGCAGCGAGAGCGAGUCUGAAUAGGGCGUAUGAAGUUUGUUGCAAUAGACCCGAAACCGGGUGACCUAUCCAUGAGCAGGUUGAAGGUGAGGUAAAACUCACUGGAGGACCGAACGCACGUUCGUUGCAAUGACCGGCGAUGACUUGUGGAUAGCGGUGAAAUUCCAAUCGAACCCGGAGAUAGCUGGUUCUCCCCGAAAUAGCUUUAGGGCUAGCGUUAUGUUAGAUUACCGGAGGUAAAGCACUGAAUGGGCUAGGGGCCGAUAAGGUUACUGAACCCUAUCAAACUCUGAAUGCCGGAUAAUUGAUGCAUAGCAGUCAGACUACGUGAGAUAAGUCUCGUGGUCAAAAGGGAAACAGCCCAGACCCACAGCUAAGGUCCCAAAUACAUGCUAAGUGGAAAACGAUGUGGAGUUGCGAAAACAACCAGGAUGUUGGCUUAGAAGCAGCCACUCAUUAAAAGAGUGCGUAAUAGCUCACUGGUCGAGUGACUCUGCGCGGAAAAUACAACGGGGCUAAGCAUGUAACCGAAGCUUGGGCUUGCCAGCAAUGGCAGGGGUAGGGGAGCGUCGAAUACGGGGUGAAGUCAGAGCGGAAGCACUGGUGGACUGUAUUCGAGUGAGAAUGCCG